rnacentral:rRNA from 1 species
UCGAGAAUUUCUCUCAAUGGGGGAAACCCUGAAGGAGCGACGCCGCGUGGAGGAUGAAGGCUUUCGGGUUGUAAACUCCUGUCAUUUGGGAACAAUGCGUACGCAUUAACUGUGCGUGCGUUGAUAGUACCAGAAGAGGAAGAGACGGCUAACUCUGUGUCAGCAGCCGCGGUAAUACAGAGGUCUCAAGCGUUGUUCGGAUUCAUUGGGCGUAAAGGGUGCGUAGGCGGUGCCGUAAGUCAGGUGUGAAAUCUCGGGGCUUAACCCCGAAACUGCAUUUGAUACUGCGGUGCUCGAGGACUGGAGAGGAGACUGGAAUUUACGGUGUAGCAGUGAAAUGCGUAGAUAUCGUAAGGAAGGCCAGUGGCGAAGGCGGGUCUCUGGACAGUUCCUGACGCUGAGGCACGAAGGCCAGGGGAGCAAACGG